UACAGAGGGUGCGAGCGUUAAUCGGAAUUACUGGGCGUAAAGCGUGCGUAGACGGUUUUGUAAGUCGGAUGUGAAAUCCCCGGGCUCAACCUGGGAAUGGCAUUCGGGACUGCAAGGCUGGAGUGCGGCAGAGGAGACUGGAAUUCCUGGUGUAGCAGUGAAAUGCGUAGAUAUCAGGAGGAAUACCGAUGGCGAAGGCAGGUCGCUGGGACGUUACUGACGCUGAGACGCGAAAGCGUGGGGAGCAAACAGG
rnacentral:rRNA from 1 species